rnacentral:rRNA from 1 species
UAACGUAUGGCUGUGGAACACUAUUUGCAAGAGUAGGGUGAAAUAGGAUUUAAUAGUAAUCGGUUGUAACAGUGAUAGACAUUAAGUAGCACGUUUCGGUGAAUUUGCCCUUGUAAGCAUACAAAUUGCCCGUCAGUGCAGUCAAAUUCUGAUUUAGCGAAGUGGUAGCGAACUUUUCGUGUAGUGAAGCUCAUGAAACGGGAAGGGCGUUGGUACUAGAGGAUUGGGGUGAGACCGUAUAAGUCGUAACAUGGUCAUAGUAGUGGAAACUGCUGUGGGACAGAU